GACGAACGCUGGCGGCGUGCCUAAUACAUACAAGUCGACCUUAGUGGCGGACGGGUGAGUAACACGUGGGAACCUACCCAUCAGCGGGGGAUAACGUCUGGAAACGGGCGCUAAUACCGCAUACUUUCAUCUUAGCCUCGGUUGGAUUAGCUAGUUGGUGGGGUAAGGGCCUACCAAGGCCACGAUGCGUAACUGGUCUGAGAGGAUGAUCAGCCACACUGGAACUGAGACACGGUCCAGACUCCUACGGGAGGCAGCAGUAGGGAAUAUGUGGCAAGGGGCGAAAGCCUGAACCAGCAAUGCCGCGUGAGUGAAGAAGGUCUUCGGAUUGUAAAGCACUGUAAUUUGGGAAGCGUUACCUACAGAAUAAGCACCGGCUAACUUCGUGCCAGCAGCCGCGGUAAUAC
rnacentral:rRNA from 1 species